GAUGAACGCUGGCGGCGUGCCUAAUACAUGCAAGUCGAGCGAACGGACGAGAAGCUUGCUUCUCUGAUGUUAGCGGCGGACGGGUGAGUAACACGUGGAUAACCUACCUAUAAGACUGGGAUAACUUCGGGAAACCGGAGCUAAUACCGGAUGAUAUUUUGAACCGCAUGGUUCAAAAGUGAAAGACGGUCUUGCUGUCACUUAUAGAUGGAUCCGCGCUGCAUUAGCUAGUUGGUAAGGUAACGGCUUACCAAGGCAACGAUGCAUAGCCGACCUGAGAGGGUGAUCGGCCACACUGGAACUGAGACACGGUCCAGACUCCUACGGGAGGCAGCAGUAGGGAAUCUUCCGCAAUGGGCGAAAGCCUGACGUAGCAACGCCGCGUGAGUGAUGAAGGUCUUCGGAUCGUAAAACUCUGUUAUUAGGGAAGAACAUAUGUGUAAGUAACUGUGCACAUCUUGACGGUACCUAAUCAGAAAGCCACGACUAACUACGUG
rnacentral:rRNA from 1 species